rnacentral:rRNA from 1 species
CACGUAUUUAGCCGGAGCUUCUUAGUCCGGUACCGUCAUUUUCUUCCCUGCUGAUAGAGCUUUACAUACCGAAAUACUUCUUCACUCACGCGGCGUUGCUGCAUCAGGGUUUCCCCCAUUGUGCAAUAUUCCCCACUGCUGCCUCCCGUAGGAGUUUGGGCCGUGUCUCAGUCCCAAUGUGGCCGUUCACUCUCUCAAGCCGGCUACUGAUCGUUGUCUUGGUAGGCCGUUACCCUGCCAACUAACUAAUCAGACGCGGGCCCAUCCUGUACCACCGGAGUUUUUCCUGCUGUACCAUGCGGUACUGUAGGCUUAUGCGGUAUUAGCAGCCGUUUCCAGCUGUUGUCCCCCUGUACAGGGCAGGGUUACCCCAGCGUUACUCACCCGUCCGCCACUCAGUCCUGCGCGUCUUCCCUCCGGAGAGUUCCGUCACACAGUCUUCGUUCGACUUGCAUGUGUUAGGCACGCCCGCCAGCGUUCAUCCUGAGCCAGGAUCAAACUCU